rnacentral:rRNA from 1 species
ACGGGGUGCAGCAGGCGCGAAAACUCCGCAAUGUUCGAAAGAACGACGGGGGAACUCCAAGUGCACUUGCGCAAGCAAGUGGUUUUUAGUAGUGUAAAUAGCUGUUAGAAUAAGAGCUGGGUAAGACCGGUGCCAGCCGCCGCGGUAACACCGGCAGCUCGAGUGGUGACCGCUUUUAUUGGGCCUAAAGCGUUCGUAGCCGGUUCAGUAAGUCUUUGGGCAAAUCUUCUCGCUUAACGAAAAGAAUUCCGAAGAUACUGCUGGACUUGGGGCCGAGAGAGGUUAGAGGUACUCCUGGGGUAGGGGUGAAAUCCUAUAAUCCUGGGGGGACCGCCAGUGGCGAAGGCGUCUAACCAGAGCGGACCCGACGGUGAGGGACGAAAGCCAGGGGCGCGAACGGGAUUAGAUACCCCGGUAGUCCUGGCCGUAAACGCUGCAUGCUAGGUGUUGCAUGCUCUACGGGGGCAUGCAGUGCCGAAGAGAAGUUGAUAAGCGUGCCGCCUGGGAAGUAUUAUCGCAAGGUAGAAACUUAAAGGAAUUGGCGGGGGAGCACCACAAGGGGUGGAGUCUGCGGUUCAAUUGGAUUCAACGCCGGAAAUCUCACCGGAGGCGACGGCAGGAUGAUGGCCAGGUUGA